GAUGAACGCUGGCGGCGUGCCUAAUACAUGCAAGUCGAGCGACCAGACGGGGAGCUUGCUCCUCUGCGGUUAGCGGCGGACGGGUGAGUAACACGUAGAUCACCUACUUCUUUGUCUGGGAUAACUUCGGGGAACCGCAGAUACUACCGGAUCAUAUAUUCUACCGCAUGGUUCAAUAGUUAAAGACGGUUUUGCUGUCUCUUAUAGCUGGUUCCGCGCCGCAUUAGCUAGUUGGUAAGGUAACGGCUUACCAAGGCUACGAUGCGUAGCCGACCUGAGAGGGUGAUCGGCCACACUGGAACUGAGACACGGUCCAGACUCCUACGGGAGGCAGCAGUGGGGAAUCUUGGGCAAUGGGCGAAAGCCUGACGGAGCAACGCCGCGUGGGUGAAGAAGGUCUUCGGAUUGUAAAGCUCUGUUAUUAGGAAAGAAAAGAUGUAGAAUAAAAUAUCCACGUUUUGACGGUACCUAAACAGAAAGCCACGGCUAACUACGUG
rnacentral:rRNA from 1 species